GUCCAAAACCACUGCUUCUGUGUUGCAGGAAGUGCUCUGUGCAAUCAUCUAGUGGCCCUUCUUUACCAGACAGCGCACUACUCUCAACUAAACAUUCCUGCUGCACCACCAAUUCACAUCUGCACAGACACAGAACAGAGUUGGCACAAGCCAAGAACACUUUUGACUCUAUCAAUAUCCAUAAAAAUGCACCUGAAAAGUAUUCAGCCUAUGUAACAGUAAAUCCUUGUUAAUUAGGGUGUGAAGCCAGGUCCGGUUGAUGGGAUAGAGUUCCAUAAACAUACUAACUUAAUUAGGGUGUGAAACCAGGUCCGGUUGAUGGGAUGGAGUUCUGUAAACAUACUAACUUAAUUAGGGUGUGAAACCAGGUCCGGUUGAUGGGAUAGAGUUCUGUAAACAUACUAACUUAAUUAGGGUGUGAAGCCAGGUCUGGUUGAUGGGAUAGAGUUCUGUAGACCUACUAACUUAAUUAGGGUGUGAAGUCAGGUCCGGUUGAUAUGUAAGAGUGCGUGCUGGUGGCAGGGAAGUCAGGCGCAGGAGAUCGAACUUGGUAUAAACGGAGCAGUUUAAUAAGUGCUCAAAAACUCAGAAAACCAAAAUAUACAAAAUAAUACAAUUGGGUACUGAUAAGGAAAUUAUAUGUUUAAGAUAAUGACUAAAUUAUUCCACCCUGUCACUGUAUAAUUGAGUGAAAUGUAUUAGAAUCAUAAGACUAGAAUUCUCUAAUGUGUGUGCAUAGGAAAAGAGGAACUGUCAACAGACAACUUGUGAUAGACAACUGUGAAACUGAUAACAGGAAGGAGGUCUCCCCAUCCAGGGAGGGGAGAAACCGUAAGGCUUGCAGUAGAUUGUGCAGGAUAUGAUAAGCAAUGUAUGUGUUGGAACAUUCUUGUAAAUAGCAAGAGGAGGGGCAUUUAUAAGGGGUACGGUAUGACCAAAUGUGAGGUAUAAAAGGCUAUGUGCGUUGUAUGAUUUUUAGAGCUCUCUGAAUAAAGAACUAACCUUUUGCAGAGAUUCUGGGACUUUGUCAAAUUCUUCUAUUAACCGGGGCCUUACAACCCCUUAAGUAUUUAAUGAAGUUGUCCCUUACUGGUUUUCUUCCAGUAACACGUGUUUCAGACAGAUUGGUGCUUGUGACUUAUAAACUUGGUCUCUGCUGCCCGCUCAAUCAAGUGCCAGAAGGUCAUCAGUGGGUCCCGACCUGACAUGGACAGCCAACACAAACCUACUGGGUGGAGGUACAGGACGGUCGGGCAGGCUGACUGGGUGGAGGAAGGACAGGAGCACCUCCACUACCAGGUUCAAGAAUAGCUUUUAUCUGACUGCUGUUUUUAAUACUUUAGCAUUUAUGACUACUGUUUUUUUUAUAAUAUUACCACUCUGGGCGUAUUUUUACUGUAUUCCUCGAUGUGUGUUAAGUACUUUAUCUGAGAGAGCUACAACGUAGAAUUCCAAUGUAUGUAUUACUGUUAAUAGGUAUUUUGCAAAUGGCAAAUAUAGUGUACUACUUAAAUAAACUACUUGAAUAAACUACUUAAAUAAACUACUUAAAUAAACUACUUGAAUAAACUACUUGAAUAAAC
rnacentral:lncRNA from 1 species